rfam:Camelus ferus unplaced genomic scaffold scaffold1226, whole genome shotgun sequence.
GAGGGUAUAGCUCAGUGGUAGAGUGUGUGCCUAGCAUGCACCAGGUCCUGGGUUCAAUCCCCAGUACCUCCA